GCCGAGGUGGUGGAACUGGUAGACACGCAGGACUAAGGAUCCUGUGCCUGUCAAAGGGCGUGAGAGUUCAAGUCUCUCUCUCGGCAUCA
rnacentral:tRNA from 1 species